rnacentral:misc_RNA from 1 species
UGAGUUUACGCUCUAUAACCCUUUGUGAACAUACCUAUAACUGUUGCUUCGGCGGGUAGGGUCUCCGCGACCCUCCCGGCCUCCCGCCCCCGGGCGGGUCGGCGCCCGCCGGAGGAUAACCAAACUCUGAUUUAACGACGUUUCUUCUGAGUGGUACAAGCAAAUAAUCAAAACUUUUAACAACGGAUCUCUUGGUUCUGGCAUCGAUGAAGAACGCAGCGAAAUGCGAUAAGUAAUGUGAAUUGCAGAAUUCAGUGAAUCAUCGAAUCUUUGAACGCACAUUGCGCCCGCCAGCAUUCUGGCGGGCAUGCCUGUUCGAGCGUCAUUUCAACCCUCAAGCUCUGCUUGGUGUUGGGGCCCUACAGCUGAUGUAGGCCCUCAAAGGUAGUGGCGGACCCUCCCGGAGCCUCCUUUGCGUAGUAACUUUACGUCUCGCACUGGGAUCCGGAGGGACUCUUGCCGUAAAACCCCCAAUUUUCCAAAGGUUGACCUCGGAUCAGGUAGGAAUACCCGCUGAACUUAAGCAUAUCAAUAAGCGGAGGAAAAGAAACCAACAGGGAUUGCCUCAGUAACGGCGAGUGAAGCGGCAACAGCUCAAAUUUGAAAUCUGGCCCUAGGCCCGAGUUGUAAUUUGCAGAGGAUGCUUUUGGUGCGGUGCCUUCCAAGUUCCCUAGAACGGGACGCCAGAGAGGGUGAGAGCCCCGUACAGUUGGACACCAAGCCUUUGUAAAGCUCCUUCGACGAGUCGAGUAGUUUGGGAAUGCUGCUCAAAAUGGGAGGUAUAUUUCUUCUAAAGCUAAAUACCGGCCAGAGACCGAUAGCGCACAAGUAGAGUGAUCGAAAGAUGAAAAGCACUUUGAAAAGAGGGUUAAACAGCACGUGAAAUUGUUAAAAGGGAAGCGCUUGUGACCAGACUUGCGUCCGGUGAAUCACCCAGCUCUCGCGGCUGGGGCACUUCGCCGGCUCAGGCCAGCAUCAGCUCGCUGUCGGGGACAAAAGCUUCAGGAACGUAGCUCUCUUCGGGGAGUGUUAUAGCCUGUUGCAUAAUACCCUUCGGCGGGCUGAGGUACGC